CCGUUUUGCCAUUGGGAGCUCUUCCAGGUUGACUCCUAUACACCUUUGCCAUCAUUUUUCGUUUUGAGCACUUUUUUGUUUUGCUUUCUGGAUCUGGAACCAACGGCUUCUCCAGAGAGCCCCGGUUCUUUUCCUUGAAAGAUGGAAUUAGAAACCAAAAGCUAGUUCCUGGCUAAGCUCCCAGGUUUGAUGCAGACCCUUCUGCUAUGGUGUGUGUGUCUGCAAAAUGAGGCAGCAAGCAGAGUUGUUUGGGGAGGUGCUGCAGGGUACAGGAAAUGGGCACAGGAUAAUGCCAUGGAGCCAGGAUCUGAGAAAGAAGGUAUCUUUUGGAGCCCGGAUGUACACCAGAGGUCACCCUGCCAAGCAGGGUCAGUGGAAGAGAUUGAGCAUGUCCAUGGUCCUGCAGUGGUGGUUAUUGUCCAAUGAUUCCUGACUUGUUUAGAGAUGUGGAACUGAGAAAUCUGAAAUGAAUAUUAUUCCACUAAAAUCAAGUGGCUAAACUUUUCUUCUGGAGGCCUCAGGAGCAUGUCCUGGGAGAAUCCCUCAUGCUGAAGACGUUCCUCAGCCCUUGUCUGGUCCCCACCUCUCUCCGGGUGAGGCCUGGAGACAGUGCUACCCUGUGGCUCCUCUAAAGAUAAAUGCUCCAGAUGGCUGCUUCAGGGCUGGCCCAGGGCUCCACUUUCUUCUGGAAGACUCAUCAGCUCGGACCCCUGGCUGCUUAGAAGAAAGAAGGGAGAUUUGUUCACUGGGCAAAGACAGCCUCAGCCCUUGCUGGGCGCUGAAUGCUAGGCAGUGUAAACUCAGUGGUGAGUGAGACUGAUUUCUCUCACAUUAUUUUAUUUUUUGCAGAACCAGGGAUUGAACUCAAGACCUUGCGCUUGCCUGGCAGGUGUUGGCGCCAUUGAGCUAAACCUUUGGCCCUCUCUCACAUUAUUGAUUUUAUUUAGUCACUGUCUGUCCUGUGUGCCAUCCUCUUAAGCUUCAUUAUAGCACAGAUUUUGUCCUAUUUACUACUAAAUACUGAUACCCAGGUUUUCAGGGUUGAUGGUAAAGCCUCCAUGUGUCUUGCUAGUUAAGGGAAAGGCACUUUCCAAUACUUUAGCUUCUCGUUUUUUCCCAUCAGAAUCCUCAAGGCAAAGAACUGCAAAGUCUGAUUACCAGUCUGAAACAGGCGUGGAGGUAACAAACAGAAGGAGAUAUUUCAGGAUUACCUUGUCUCCUUUGUGUGGCUAAGCAGCUUGGACAAUAUUCUGAAAGCAAUAAAGUAAGGAUGGUUUAUGGAACAGGGUCAGCUAUCAGGAUGAUAGCAAAUAGUACCUGCAUUAAUCAGGGAAACUUAAACACACAAAGUGGAACCACAUGGGUGGAGCAGCUGGGUUUGUGUCUUGGAAGUUGAUCAGGCUGUCCAGGGCGGAGGGGACAACACCACUCUUGGGACAGCCCCACUUGGUGGCGGGGCUCAGGGAAGAGGGCAGUGGACUGACUUCGGGAGAGGAUGGUGCCUCUGCCUAGACAGCAGCGUGCAGACGGCGCACAGGGUACAGAAGCCAGCCCUGUUUCACACGCGGAACCGGAAGGGUGUGGUGAGUGGACACCGGAAGUGAGACGUGGUGAGUGGAGACCGGAAAUGAGGUGUGGUGGGUGGAGGUCGGAAGUGGGGUGUGGUGAGUGGACAACGGAACUUGGAUGUGGUAAGUGGACACCGGAAGUGGGAUGUGGUGAGUGGACAGCAGAAGUGAGGGAGAGGGCUGUAUUGCUCUUGGCUUCCAGUUUGGGUGAUGGGGUGGACAAUGGAACUCGUCACGGGUAGGAGAUGGGUUGAGUUGCAGGUGUGCAGAGCGCUGGGAAGAUGUGUAACUCCGGCCUGGGCGACUGGACCGCAGUCCACGCCUCCCUGCGCGUUGCUAAUCCGGGCCCUGCUCGAAGGUCUUCCUCCUGUGUUUAGGCCCAGAGCCCCUGGGCGGCGUUCAAGGCCAGAACAUCACAGUGGCG
ensembl:lncRNA